CCUUAAAAUGUAUAAAGCUGAGCUGUACCCCACCACCUUGGGCACAUGUCAGGAUCUCCUGAGGAUGUGUCAUGAGUGUGUCCUUAACCUUGGCAAAAAUCAACUUUCUAAACUGAUUCAGACCUGUCUCAGGUACUUUUGGUUUACAUUAAUAUGAGUGCUACCUCAUAGAGGAGCAAAUCGAGACCCAGGGAGGCUAUGUCAUAGCUUACCUAGGGAGAACUAGAAGAUGAUGAAGGCAGGAGUCAAACUCACAUAGUCUCACUCCAGAGUCUGUAUUGCUCAUUACUAUGGUCAAAUGCCUGCAAUGAAGGCAAUAGCUUGUGUAUUCUGGCCUCCUCUUCUGCCAUCCUGAAACUCCAAAUUAUGCCAUCAUGUGGACUCACAAAAGAUUGUGUUCAGGCUUCCACUGUAUGUCUCAUGUGUUUUGGAGUUUGUGCCCUCUACUCAUCUGGGAGCCUGGUAAUGGCUGGGACUUUUUUUCAUUUCCACUCCCUCAGUUCUUAGUGCAGUGCCUGGGUAGGUGUUUACUAAAUCUUGUUAAGUGAAUAUGUGUAAAGACGAAACAGCCUAAUCUCACAAAGUUUUACAAAUAAGAAUAAAUCAUGUGAGUUCUUUGCAAAGAAGAAUAUUGCAGUAUGACAGGCUGAUUUGGUAAUAACUCAGCUAGCAGAGACCUGCUUAAACAGUUACCCAAGCCCGAGAAGGAGCAAUUUUGUGCUGUCUUAUGAUAGUCUGAAUGGACUUAGGGGGAUACCAGUUUUCUGUUUUGCUCUUGGCCCCUUGCUCAUAAAAAGUACUACUGCAGGUUGGGCUGCUGCAGAAGCAGGCUCUGAGAUAGAAUCUAGUGUGCAGGAUAUUUAUAAGGAGGGUCCUUGGGAUCUAUGCAUUCCACAGGAAGAGACUAAGGCAGAACUGGGUAGAGGAAGAAGUUGAAAUGUGGUGCAGGCCCAGUGACGGCCUGGCUGAGCUCAUGAGAGCUCUUGAGCUAGAAUGGUCUUGCUAGAGUUGAGCCAGAUGGCAAGGUCUUCUUACUCCAAAGCUAUUAGUCACUAGAUAUGGGCUGCCCAGGAGGGGCUUGAUCAUGAGCAAGGCAGCUUGCCUGAAGGGAUGGCAGCUGAAGGCUGUCUGUUGACAGACUUCCAGCAGCUGGGACAACAAGCUCUUAUUUCAGGGAGGUCUGGGUGGUGUAUCUCAGUGUCCCACACAUGAACAUUACUUUGGAAUGAGUGUUUCCACAGCACAGGAGCCCAGCAUGAGGGAUGUACAGGAAAAUCUGCAGGCCUGGGUGUCAGCCCUGAGUCAGGACUCUGACUCUGUUGCUUCUUAGCUGUGGGACCAUGGUUGCAUGAUCAAGCUGACUUGAGGGUUCUGAACAGAAGCUGACCAGUCUACUGCACAUUGUAAAGAAGUUAAAAAGCUGGAUUGAAUUGCAAAAUGUACUACUCAAGGAGUCCAAAGAAUAAAAUAUGAGCAGCUUGUGGGGGUAAAGCAUUCGUAGGUAUAGUAUAGAAAAGGUCCAUGAGCAUCAUGUCAGUGUCUUUUAACUUUCCAUUGCAGUGGAAUAAUCCUUUAUGCGUUUAUGAAAAUCUUUGGAAAAGAAGCCACGUCACUGGGUGGUUCCUACUUAUUUUCCUCUCCAGGGGCCUUUGCUGCUCUUGCUGGGUGCCUCAGUUGCUAGCUUUGUGAGUAGUAAUGCCCCACUGUUCCCAGCUCCUUGCUUGCUGGGUGUGAGGACAGAGGCUAUCAUAGCAAUAAUUGCUGGAUGUUCUGUGUUUGCACAUCUGUGGUGGCCUUCUGAAUUGAGUUUCGUGCCAGAGCCAGGCAGCGCCUCCCUACCCCACCCUCCCACUGCCCCUUUAUUUUCUGUGUCACACCAUUAAAAGAAAUGAGAUUAUGGCACAAAUCAUCAUUCAUAUGACUCUAGCAUAGAAGGUUAGCGAGAUAUUGCAGAGAUAAUUCCAUAGCCACCAUGGCCCCUGACAAUAAUUACAAUGUGGCCACAGGGGAUUACCUUCUAAUAGGCUUUUGUUCACUCAAUUCAGAGUCUGUUGUGUGCUAGAGUUUGGAUAAUUAAAGUUGUGUCUCAGAAGCCACAUGUGGUAGCUCAUAAUUAUGUAGUCGAGUCUAACAGAAAACUGAGGUGACUGACACCCGGCCAGAGUGAAGAACAGGGGUCCUUGGUGACAACGAAGAAAGAAACCAGUCCCCUCAUUUGGGGACAGGGGAUUGGUGUUCACUCCAUAGCAUCAACUGCUUUAUUUAUUUUAAACAAAAAUGACUAAUUAUAGCCCUUUCUGGUCCAAUCCCUCACUCUCCA
rnacentral:lncRNA from 1 species